UACGUAAGGGCCGAGCGUUGUCCGGAGUUACUGGGCGUAAAGCGCGCGCAGGCGGCGCAUCGCGCCCGGCGUGAAAGCCCCCGGCUCAACCGGGGAGGGUCGUCGGGGACGGGUGCGCUUGAGGACGGCAGGGGCAGGUGGAAUUCCCGGUGUAGUGGUGAAAUGCGCAGAUAUCAGGAGGAACACCGGUGGCGAAGGCGGCUUGCUGGGCCAGUUCUGACGCUGAGGAGCGAAAGCGUGGGGAGCGAACAGG
rnacentral:rRNA from 1 species